rnacentral:lncRNA from 1 species
UACAGCAUAAUAAAGAAGAUCAGGGACCAAAGUGUCAGUUGAAUGAAACUAUUAGGGAUGAAAAGCGUUUAUUACUUCUAAUUUAACAAAAUUCCGGUGAGAAUUCAGAACAAAUUGAACGGCCGUUAGAAUCAAUUGUCUGUUGAAGUUUCACGGGCUCUCUACCGAAGCUGAUCGAAUUCAAAUUCCUGAUGAUUCUUGGAGAAAUGGAGUACAAUAAUCCUCUCUCUAGAUAUAUGUAAUUGUAUAGUUAAAACAUAAGAAAUUCAUGUAACCUAGCUUGAAUUUUUUUGGUUGUAAAUUUUAAGAUUUUUUUUUUAUGAAUUUCUUUUUCUUUAUAUGAAUUUCUACGUAUUAGUGUAUGUAAAUGUAUUCAUAUUUGUAAUACUGAUUCUGAAUUUCUAUGUGAUUUUUUAACUUUUUGAUUUGAAUUUAAUAAGGAGGAUGUUUUUAUGUGCG